GUGGCGUGCCUUUUGAAGAAUGAGCCUGCGAGUUAGUGAUACGUGGCGAGGUUAACCCGUGUGGGGAAGCCGUAGCGAAAGCGAGUCUGAAUAGGGCGAUUGAGUCGCGUGUCCUAGACCCGAAGCGGAGUGAUCUACCCAUGGCCAGGUUGAAGCGACGGUAAGACGUCGUGGAGGACCGAACCCACCUAGGUUGAAAACUGGGGGGAUGAGCUGUGGGUAGGGGUGAAAGGCCAAUCAAACUCCGUGAUAGCUGGUUCUCCCCGAAAUGCAUUUAGGUGCAGCGUCGCGUGUUGCCCGGCGGAGGUAGAGCUACUGGGUGGCUGAUGGGCCCCACAGGGUUACUGACGUCAACCAACUCCGAAUGCCGUCGG
rnacentral:rRNA from 1 species